GACGAACGCUGGCGGCGUGCUUAACACAUGCCAGUCGAACGGAAAGGCCCUGCUUUUGUGGGGUGCUCGAGUGGCGAACGGGUGAGUAACACGUGAGUAACCUGCCCUUGACUUUGGGAUAACUUCAGGAAACUGGGGCUAAUACCGGAUAGGAGCUCCUGCUGCAUGGUGGGGGUUGGAAAGUUUCGGCGGUUGGGGCUGGACUCGCGGCUUAUCAGCUUGUUGGUGGGGUAGUGGCUUACCAAGGCUUUGACGGGUAGCCGGCCUGGGAGGGUGACCGGCCACAUUGGGACUGAGAUACGGCCCAGACUCCUACGGGAGGCAGCAGUGGGGAAUAUUGCACAAUGGGCGGAAGCCUGAUGCAGCAACGCCGCGUGCGGGAUGACGGCCUUCGGGUUGUAAACCGCUUUCGCCUGUGACGAAGCGUGAGUGACGGUAAUGGGUAAAGAAGCACCGGCUAACUACGUG
rnacentral:rRNA from 1 species